rnacentral:rRNA from 1 species
UACGGGGGGGGCGAGCGUUGUUCGGAAUUACUGGGCGUAAAGGGUUUGUAGGUGGCCGAUUAAGUCAGACGUGAAAUCCCCUCAGCUUAACUGGGGAACUGCGUCUGAUACUGGUUGGCUUGAGUGCAGGAGAGGAAUGCGGAAUUCCAGGUGUAGCGGUGAAAUGCGUAGAUAUCGGAAGGAACACCAGUGGCGAAAGCGGCUUCCUGGUCCAGCACCGACGUCAGGCACGAAAGCGUGGGGAGCAAACAGGG